CCUACGGGUGGCAGCAGUGGGGAAUAUUGGACAAUGGGCGAAAGCCUGAUCCAGCCAUGCCGCGUGUGUGAAGAAGGCCUUCGGGUUGUAAAGCACUUUCAGUGGGGAAGAAAGCCUUGGGGCUAAUACCCUCGAGGAAGGACAUCACCCACAGAAGAAGCACCGGCUAACUCCGUGCCAGCAGCCGCGGUAAUACGGAGGGUGCGAGCGUUAAUCGGAAUUACUGGGCGUAAAGCGCGCGUAGGCGGUCUGAUAAGCCGGUUGUGAAAGCCCCGGGCUCAACCUGGGAACGGCAUCCGGAACUGUCAGGCUAGAGUGUAGGAGAGGAAGGUAGAAUUCCCGGUGUAGCGGUGAAAUGCGUAGAGAUCGGGAGGAAUACCAGUGGCGAAGGCGGCCUUCUGGACUGACACUGACGCUGAGGUGCGAAAGCGUGGGUAGCAAACAGGAUUAGAUACCCGGGUAGUC
rnacentral:rRNA from 1 species